GUAGGUGGCAAGCGUUGUCCGGAAUUAUUGGGCGUAAAGCGCGCGCAGGCGGUUCUUUAAGUCUGAUGUGAAAGCCCACGGCUCAACCGUGGAGGGUCAUUGGAAACUGGGGAACUUGAGUACAGAAGAGGAAAGCGGAAUUCCACGUGUAGCGGUGAAAUGCGUAGAGAUGUGGAGGAACACCAGUGGCGAAGGCGGCUUUCUGGUCUGUAACUGACGCUGAGGCGCGAAAGCGUGGGGAGCAAACAGGAUUAGAUACCCUGGUAGUCCACGCCGUAAACGAUGAGUGCUAAGUGUUAGGGGGUUUCCGCCCCCUUAGUGCUGCAGCUAACGCAUUAAGCACUCCGCCUGGGAGUACGGCCGCAAGGCUG
rnacentral:rRNA from 1 species